rnacentral:rRNA from 1 species
AUGAACGCUAGCGGCAGGCUUAAUACAUGCAAGUCGAGGGGCAGCAGGACUGUAGCAAUACAGUUGCUGGCGACCGGCAAACGGGUGCGGAACACGUACGCAACCUACCCAAAACUGGGGGAUAGCCCGGGGAAACCCGGAUUAAUACCUCGUAACCUUUUUAAGUGGCAUCACUUGAUAAGUAUAGCUCCGGCGGUUUUGGAUGGGCGUGCGCCUGAUUAGGUAGUUGGUGCGGGUAACGGCCCACCAAGCCUGCGAUCAGUAACUGGUGUGAGAGCACGACCAGUAAAACGGGCACUGAGACACGGGCCCGACUCCUACGGGAGGCAGCAGUAAGGAAUAUUGGUCAAUGGACGCAAGUCUGAACCAGCCAUGCCGCGUGAAGGAUGAAGGUCCUCUGGAUUGUAAACUUCUUUUAUGGGGGACGAAACCCGGAUAUUCUUAUCCGAUUGACGGUACCUCAGGAAUAAGCACCGGCUAACUCCGUG